CCGACGCCCGGUCAAGUAGCUCCGCCGCUGCAUGCUACAGUAGCCCUGCCGGCCGCCGCUAGCCUACCUGCUCCUCCUUCCCUUCCAUCGGCCGGACUCCUUCACCUGUGGGCUCCUCCCAAUCUCUAUCCCGGCGGCUGGUCGCCAUCUGCUCCCGACUGCCUGCUGUCGUCCCUGCCGCCCUUCUCCUCCAUGGCUUCACCGGUGAGCAAGGGGUCUACGGUUGCCUCUAACGUUGCAAGUUCUCAUACUCUCAAAAGAAAUUCAGAUGACAUGGGGUGGGAGUUUGCAACCUUGAUCAAUCCUUUAGAUCUACAACGAGUGAAGUGCAAGUUGUGUGGGAAGGAGAUGGGUGGAGGCGUCAAUAGGAUGAAGCAACAUAUUGGGCAGGUAAAGGGGAGCGUGAAAAGUUGCAAUAUGGCCACACCGAAUCAGCAGAAAAGGUGUAAGGAUGCUUAUGAGGAACCACAAAAUAAUAAGAAGCUAAAAGAAAAACAUGAUGAAGAAGUACGUGCUGAGGUUGUCAUUCAAGUUGAUGAUGACAAGAAUGAGGAAGAGCUUCAUGCAAUUGGAGAAGGUGAAGCUCGCAAGUCAGGACCUAUUGAUAAAUAUGUGAUGCCAAUUGAUCCUUCCAUUCCAUUGAAGAAGUUCCAACAAAACAAAAAUGAUGCAAUUGAUAAGGAGAAAGCUUACAGGGUAGGGCAAUAUUUGGCUAGAUGGAUGUACAAGAAAAAUAUUCCUUUCAAUGCUGUCAAUGAUGAUGACUUCAAGCAGUUUUGUGAAGCCCUUGGUCGGUUUGGUUCUAAAUGGAAGCCACCUUCCCAAUACAUGCUCCGAGAGAAGAUGUUGCUGCAAGAGGUGGAAAGAACAAAGGAUUUGAUGCAGCCACACGAGCUUGAGAGGGUGGAAACCGGGUGCUCUAUCAUGACCGAUGCUUGGACCGAUAAGAAAAGAAGAAGUAUAAUGAAUUUGUGCGUGCAUUGCAAGUUAGGGACCGCCUUCCUUGAAUCAAAGGAGGUGUCGGCGGAUGCACACACAAGUCUAUACAUCUUCAAUUAUGUAGUUGAGUGCAUUGACAAAAUUGGU
rnacentral:rRNA from 1 species